AAAUCUCUAUACAACUUUAAAAGAAGUCUUAAUGAAAUGUUAUGGGUGAGAUCAAGGAGAUUGUGAGCCAAAAUGAAACUACCACAGUGAAUAUGGAUAGAGAAUCCUUAAUGAAGAAAAUAACUAUUGGAAAUGAGAAAAGCUAGUUCUUCUGAGACUAAUCAAAUACAAGGACUGGAUGUGAAUAAUCAAUAAGAUCUAAUCAAUGUGCAAAUGCAUAUCAUAGGAAAUGUAUUAAACGGUGAGCACUGGAAUGAACUUGGAUACUGUUCUCAUAUUGCACACACAUUUUUGUCCAUCCAGUAACCAGCUGAGUCUUUCAUAUUUUGAUGAAGACAAUUCCCAUAGUCUUCCCAGUGACCUCGAACAAGUUGCAAGAACAAAUUUGUCUGUUUCUGCUUAUAACUCCUGAAGCUUGUCAACUAUAAAUUGACUCACUAUUGGGUACAUUUAUUUUGUGUUUCAUGUGAUAGCUUAAACACACUACACUGAAAUUUGCCUAAACCAUAUUAUUUUAAUUUAUCAUAAUUUAUAAGUAAUAUACAGAUAAAACAAAUUUCUUAGUCUAAUGGGUGAUGGAAAUGUAUUCUAAGAGAGAUGCCUUUGCAAAAGUGUCCAUAUAUUUAUUAUGUUUCAGCCUUAUUACAAGGUAAUGCACACACCUAAAUUGUAUACUACCAAGCAAAUAGUUGCUUUACUUAGACGGCUUUAUGUUAUUUAUAAAUGAUCCCUACUUACCUAGGAAAAGAAGGCUUCUACUAGGCCUACUUGGAGGAUAAUAAUUUAAAUUAGAUUAAACUUUGAAUGUAAUGAAUAUUUGAGGGGGAGGCUAUAUAGCUCAUUGGUAGAGUGCAUGCUUAGCAUGUACAAGGUCCUGGGUUCAUUCCCUAGUACCUCCAUU